GAGCGCGCAAUAUUUUGAGCAAAGAAAGCCUGGCGACUCGACAACAUGCUUCUUCCGGGCUGACAGCGAACACCAUCAUUAAAACUAAUCACCAGCUAUGUACUGAUUUUAAACGCAUCACCAGUGUGGACUUCCUCGAGACAUUCAGAGCAUGAGUCAAUACAGAGCAAGAAAAGGGGCUUUUGUACAAGAGAUGGGAGAUCUUAACAAGCUCGAUCAGCAGACCUCAAAUGUCAUAAAAUAGAAAACAGUCCUUGAAGAUCUCCUCUUGUUCCUCUGCAAAGAUUGUGAAACAUUUCUGGACACUUCUCCAGAUGACAGACAGACCAGAGGGAUGAAAGUCGGCAGUCUUUUCAUGAUUGAAGAUUAAAUCUCCACAUCUAGCACGUUGCCGAAUGUCACAAACUUUGCUGUUGUUUUGGAGGAGGCUAUUGUUUUGUAAGAUGCUCCAGACCUGCAAUCUGCAGUUGCUUACCUGUUUGGCCUUCUCUUUGCCUCAGAUAUUGUGGAGUACCCAAAAAGUCUUCAUGGACAUCCGCAUUCACUGUUCUGCAAGGGUGCAGUCCCUUAAAACAAACUUGUUGCUCUGACAUAAAGUUGCAUUUGUGAGCUAUUUUAUAUGUGCAGAUGCACUUCAUCGUUCACCCUGCCAGACUUUGAACAAAACAUAAAAACACACACACACAUUUUUCAAAUGAAUUUGUUUUUGAUUGAUUGUGGUAUUUGACAUGUGUUCAAAUUUCACAUGUGAAAAGACAGAGUGGUCGCUGCUGUUGGGUUUCAAAUAAAACUUUGAACAAAAUCUUAAGCCUGCAAUUUUAGUUUUAUUUGAUUGCCUUAUUUAAUAUUAACUAGAAUAAAACACCUCUUUUAGUAAA